rnacentral:tRNA from 1 species
GGGUAUGUAGCUCAGAGGUAGAGUGGGUGCAUAGCAAGCAGAAGGCUCUGGGGUCAAUUCCCAGCACCCCA